AGCCCGCGGCUCUCCUUGCGCAGGCGCAAGACCGCCAAUACGCGUCAGCUUUAGCCGGCGGGUGACCCGACACCCGCCCCAGGAUUCCGUCCACCCUGUGACGUCAGCCUCCACCAUGUUUGUGCAGGGUGGGAAGGCAGGCUCGGUGUCCAGGGUCUUGGCUGGUGUUUCCGGAGGAGGGGAGCUAAUAAAAGCUAAGAGAUGUUGGGGUCCCUGGAUGGCUCAGUGGUUGUACAUAUGAUACAGUCAGAAGGGACUGUUUGCAGAACUACCUUGAGCAUUCAUGGAGAAAUCAUCAUUAUAAGAGAGGUGUCAGAUAACUGCAGUUUGUAAAACCCAAUGAACUGUAAGUUAAACCAAUCCAGCCAAGCUUUCUUCUCAAGAAGUUGGAAAAAUGAACACUGGGGGAGAAGCGAAGAAAUGAGAAGGAAGAAUAUAAAAAUGAGGUUAAAAAUAAAUGAAAUCGACACUUAAAAAAAUACUAUAGAGUCACACUCAUCAGGAUGGCAACCACAAAACAGAGACUAGAAAAUAACAAGGAUGUGGAGAAACUGGAA